UGGUGGAGUGAUUUGUCUGGUUAAUUCCGUUAACGAACGAGACCUUAACUUACUAAAUAGGUACAUGUAACAUUUGUUAUGUGGGCAUCUUCUUAGGAGGACUUUGUGUGUUCAAUGCAAGGAGGUUUGAGGCAAUAACA
rnacentral:rRNA from 1 species